GUCAAUAUCAGAUAAUAAAGAAGGACAUAUUAAGGCCCUUAUUAUGUCAGUUGAUAGUUUGCUUUGUAAAUAAAUAUUAUAUUGCAAAUGAUUACCACAAACCGAUUAUCACACAGAGACUGUUAUGAUUAGACCUCGCCUCCUCCUAUUUACUAGUGUUCUCCCUGUGGCUCCCUUCUCUGCUGUUCCUGUCUGUCUCGUUUGUCAUGUGCUGUGUGUGUGUAUGUGUGUUCAUGGGCGUGUCCAAUCCUGGCUCCUCUCCACCGGCAAAGUCUCACACCUGCGGCUCAUCCAGUAAUCACCACCUACAGUCAAAUACCCUGGUUCAGCGCCCACUCUUCGCCAGUUUUACCACCCGAGACCGAGACACUGCCUACCUGACUCUGCCUGUCAGCCUGCCAAGCCACGCCGCCCCGUACAGAACUAAGGACGCCAUUACCUAGCACUCUGCCUGGAAAACCUCGCUCUCCCAAAUCAUUCAUUCCCUCUCCUGCACUGUGAUUAAUAAACCAGAUUGUGUGUUUUA